GUGAUGGUUUUUGUGAAGAAAGGGUCCAAGAAGAAGGUUUUUUUUUUUUUAUAAAACAUCUCUUGUCAUAUCCCUCGUAUAUCAUAAUUAAUGACUUCUUUAUAUUGUGUUUACUCUUGUAGUGAUGUUACAUAACAUGUAUACUCUUGUAGUGAUGUUACGUAACAUACAUAAAUCCCAAGGUUUGCUUCUUUUUUUUCGUGAUACUUUAGUUUUGUAAACCUGAAUUGAAGUUCUGCAUAUGUAAUGAUGAUAUGGUUAUCUAUUGAUUGUGAAAUCUGGUUGGCUAUUGCAAGUUAUACUAGUUUGGUUUAUAUCCUCAGAUUUGGUUUAAUAAGUGUUGCAUGUUCGAGCACAAUAUCACAAUCCCAAGGAAGCGAUCAAGUGGUUGAAGCAAUCCGCUGAGAAUGGUUACGUUCGAGCACAUUGUCACUAUAUCAGUUAGCUCUUUGUUCACACUAAAGCUGGGUUGUGCAAACCAAUAUGCUAACAUCAUCUGAGAUUGAAGUAUUGGUAUAAGAUAGUUGUGUUGUUGAUUGUAUUCAUAUGAUCCAGGGAGAUUUUUUGAAGAACAAGGACUAAGAUUCAUGCUGGGUUUGUUCUUGAUAACCCUCCACGGCGAGCCCAACUCAAGGCAACAACAGGGAGAACCGAGCUGCCAAUCCUGAAGCUGUGACUGAAUCUCCGCAAAUGACUGAGCUUCCGCAAUGUGUCUAAUGAGUCUCAUGAGCAAGAAGACGAUGACGAUGAGGAACUUGUAGGUAGUGCACUCUUCUGAUGAACUUGUUGUCUCAGCUUUCUAUCAUCCCUCUUGUCUAUGGUACUUGGCUUCUACGACUUUCGUUUAAAACUCUUGUCUUUUGUCUGCUAGUGUAAAACUCUAUCUAUUUUGAAUGUUUAAAGCUAAGGUUUAACAUUAAUCGGAACUUUUGUACUUUCA